rnacentral:rRNA from 1 species
UACGAAGGGGGCUAGCGUUGCUCGGAAUCACUGGGCGUAAAGCGCACGUAGGCGGCUUGUUAAGUCAGGGGUGAAAUCCUGGAGCUCAACUCCAGAACUGCCUUUGAUACUGGCGAGCUUGAGUUCGGGAGGGGUGAGUGGAACUGCGAGUGUAGAGGUGAAAUUCGUAGAUAUUCGCAAGAACACCAGUGGCGAAGGCGGCUCACUGGCCCGAUACUGACGCUGAGACGCGAAAGCGUGGGGAGCAAACAGG